CACUCCUGCGGGAGGCAGCAGUGGGGAAUAUUGGACAAUGGGCGCAAGCCUGAUCCAGCCAUGCCGCGUGAGUGAUGAAGGCCCUAGGGUUGUAAAGCUCUUUCACCGGUGAAGAUAAUGACGGUAACCGGAGAAGAAGCCCCGGCUAACUUCGUGCCAGCAGCCGCGGUAAUACGAAGGGGGCUAGCGUUGUUCGGAUUUACUGGGCGUAAAGCGCACGUAGGCGGACUAUUAAGUCAGGGGUGAAAUCCCGGGGCUCAACCCCGGAACUGCCUUUGAUACUGGUAGUCUUGAGUUCGAGAGAGGUGAGUGGAAUUCCGAGUGUAGAGGUGAAAUUCGUAGAUAUUCGGAGGAACACCAGUGGCGAAGGCGGCUCACUGGCUCGAUACUGACGCUGAGGUGCGAAAGCGUGGGGAGCAAACAGGAUUAGAUACCCUUGUAGUCCCAUGA
rnacentral:rRNA from 1 species